rnacentral:rRNA from 1 species
UACGAAGGGUGCAAGCGUUACUCGGAAUUACUGGGCGUAAAGCGUGCGCAGGCGGCUAUGCAAGACAGAUGUGAAAUCCCCGGGCUACAACCCUGGGAACUGCAUUUGUGACUGCAUGGCUAGAGUACGGUAGAGGGGGAUGGAAUUCCGCGUGUAGCAGUGAAAUGCGUAGAUAUGCGGAGGAACACCGAUGGCGAAGGCAAUCCCCUGGACCUGUACUGACGCUCAUGCACGAAAGCGUGGGGAGCAAACAGG